UGAAAGCCCCCGGCUUCAACCGGGGAGGGUCAUUGGAAACUGGGGAACUUUGAGUGCAGAAGAGGAGAGUGGAAUUCCACGUGUAGCGGUGAAAUGCGUAGAGAUGUGGAGGAACACCAGUGGCGAAGGCGACUCUCUGGUCUGUAACUGACGCUGAGGAGCGAAAGCGUGGGGAGCGAACAGGAUUAGAUACCCUGGUAGUCCACGCCGUAAACGAUGAGUGCUAAGUGUUAGGGGGUUUCCGCCCCUUAGUGCUGCAGCUAACGCAUUAAGCACUCCGCCUGGGGAGUACGGUCGCAAGACUGAAACUCAAAGGAAUUGACGGGGGCCCGCACAAGCGGUGGAGCAUGUGGUUUAAUUCGAAGCAACGCGAAGAACCUUACCAGGUCUUGACAUCCUCUGACGAUCCUAGAGAUAGGACGUCCCCUUCGGGGGCAGAGUGACAGGUGGUGCAUGGUUGUCGUCAGCUCGUGUCGUGAGAUGUUGGGUUAAGUCCCGCAACGAGCGCAACCCUUGAUCUUAGUUGCCAGCAUUCAGUUGGGCACUCUAAGGUGACUGCCGGUGACAAACCGGAGGAAGGUGGGGAUGACGUCAAAUCAUCAUGCCCCUUAUGACCUGGGCUACACACGUGCUACAAUGGACAGAAC
rnacentral:rRNA from 1 species